CGUGGGGAACCUGGCCUUCAGUGAGGAAUACCGGCGAGAAAUCGCCGACAAGACCGCAUACGUCUUGCGUCUGGAAUGGGGCAAGAGAAAGCUUUCUUUCGGGAGAGCGCUGGAGGAUGGGCCUGCGUCCGAUUAGCUGGUUGGUGGGGUAAGAGCUCACCAAGGCGACGAUCGGUAGCUGGUCUGAGAGGACGAUCAGCCACACUGGGAUUGAGAACGGCCCAG
rnacentral:rRNA from 1 species